AUGUGCGACCAUAACAGCACCAUGGCACCGGAUCCUAUCAGAACUCCGCAGUUAAGCGUGCUCGGGCGAGAGUAGUACUGGGGUGGGUGGCCUCUUGGGAAGUCCUCGUGUUACACCCC